rnacentral:tRNA from 1 species
AAAAAAUUAGUUAACAUAUAAUAUAAGUUUGUCAAACUUACGUCAUCUUCUUAGAUAUUUUUUA